UUUGAUCCUGGSUCAGGAUGAACGCUGGCGGUAUGCUUAACACAUGCAAGUCGUAGAAGAUCUUCGAUCUUAGUGGCGGACGGGUGAGUAACACGUGAGAAUCUACCCUUAGGAGAGAAUAACAGCUGGAAACGGUUGCUAAUACUCUAUAUGCCGAGAGGUAAAAGGAUCUACCACCUUAGGAAGAGCUCGCGUCUGAUUAGCUAGUUGGUGAGGUAAUGGCUCACCAAGGGACGAUCAGUAGCUGGUUUGAGAGGACGACCAGCCACACUGGGACUGAGACACGGCCCAACUCCUACGGGAGGCAGCAGUGGGGAAUUUUGGACAAUGGACGCAAGUCUGAUCCAGCCUGCCGCGUGCGGGAAGAAGGCCUUCGGGUUGUAAACCGCUUUUGUCARGGAAGAAAAGGUCUGGUUAAUACCUGGGACUCAUGACGGUACCUGAAGAAUAAGCACCGGCUAACUACGUCCAGCAGCCGCGGUAA
rnacentral:rRNA from 1 species